ACGAACGCUGGCGGCGUGGAUAAGGCAUGCAAGUCGAACGGAUCUCAUUUGCGAUUACAUCAAGAAUGAGAUUAGUGGCGAACGGGGUAGUAACACGUGGGUACUUCCCCUGAAGACGGGAAUAAUUCAUCGAAAGGUGGACUAAUACCCGAUGGUCCCGAAAGGGUAAACGGAGUAAUCCGCUUCAGGAAAGGCCUGCGGGCUAUCAGCUAGUUGGUAGGGUAACGGCCUACCAAGGCUAUGACGGCUAGGGGGCGUGAGAGCGUGAUCCCCACCAAUGGUACUGCGACACGGACCAUACACCUACGGGUGGCUGCAGUCGAGAAUCUUCCACAAUGGACGAUAGUCUGAUGGAGCGACGCCGCGUGCAGGAAGAAGCUCUUCGGGACGUAAACUGCUUUUAUAGGGGAGAAAGCCGGGUUAUACCGGAUUGAUAGUACUCUAUGAAUAAGGGCCUGCUAAUCUCGU
rnacentral:rRNA from 1 species